GGAGGGUUCGCAUAGCGGCCGAGUGCAGUGCUCUUGAAAAGCACCAAGUCCUUGACGGGACUUCGUGGGUUCAAAUCCCACACCCUCCGCCA
rnacentral:tRNA from 1 species